GUCCAGAGGAGGAGAGGUUUGCUUUCGUGAACUGGAUCAACACAGCGCUGGAACAAGACCCUGACUGUAAACAUGUGUUGCCCAUGAAUCCCAAUACAGAUGAUCUCUUCAAGGCUGUAGGUGAUGGUGUUGUGCUGUGUAAAAUGAUCAACCUGUCAGUACCUGAUACUAUUGAUGAGAGAACCAUCAACAAGAAGAAACUAACACCAUUCACAAUACAGGAGAAUCUUAACCUGGCUCUUAACUCGGCC